rnacentral:misc_RNA from 1 species
UCCCGGUUGGCCCGGGCAGUCUCGCGUGAAAAAUAUAACACGCGAUAAGGGUUGCGCUCGUUGCGGGACUUAACCCAACAUCUCACGACACGAGCUGACGACGGCCAUGCAGCACCUGUCACUGGGUUCCCGAAGGCACAGCACUGUUUCCAGCGCCUUCCCAGGAUGUCAAGCCUCGGUAAGGUUCUACGCUUAGCAUCGUAUUAAACCACAUGCUCCACUGCUUGUGCGGGUCCCCGUCAAUUCCUUUGAGUUUUAAGCUUGCGCUCGUACUCCCCAGGCGGCAGGCUUAUCGCGUUAGCUUCUCAGCCCAAGGGGUCGAUACCUCAAACUAAUAGCCUGCAUCGUUUACGGCGUGGACUAC